CUCUAAAAGCACUCUGUGUGGGGAACAUGAGAGCCAGACCAAAGCUCAGAGGAACCCACCUGGACCUCCACCCAGCUCUGUGUCCUUACAGAGUGAUGCGUCUGCAGGUCGCCUCAUUGAUUUUAAAGUCUCUGCUGCAGAGAGAGUGGACCAGCAGAGCUCAGAGGUUCCCAGUGGUCAGUCU